CAAUGUGAGUGCAAUCUGGCUGCAAUAUCUUUCACCCCAUUGAUUGCCAGGGUUGAUUCGGCUGAUCUGACUGGCUAGGUGGGUGUCCCCUCCCUCCCUCAUUGCUUCAUGUGCAUCCCACCUGAAGCUGUGCGCUCGGUGGAAGAGGACAACCACCCUAGAUAGGAGUAUCAUGGUUUGAUUUCA